rnacentral:rRNA from 1 species
UACGUAGGGGGCUAGCGUUGUCCGGAAUCAUUGGGCGUAAAGAGCGUGUAGGCGGUCCGGUAAGUCCGCUGUGAAAGUCGGGGGCUCAACCCUCGAAUGCCGGUGGAUACUGUCGGGCUAGAGUACGGAAGAGGCGAGUGGAAUUCCUGGUGUAGCGGUGAAAUGCGCAGAUAUCAGGAGGAACACCUAUUGCGAAGGCAGCUCGCUGGGACGUAACUGACGCUGAGACGCGAAAGCGUGGGGAGCAAGCAGG